AACGAACGCUGGCGGCAGGCUUAACACAUGCAAGUCGAACGCAUCGCAAGAUGAGUGGCAGACGGGUGAGUAACACGUGGGAAUCUACCCAUCCCUGCGGAACAACUCCGGGAAACUGGAGCUAAUACCGCAUACGCCCUUCGGGGGAAAGAUUUAUCGGGGAUGGAUGAGCCCGCGUUGGAUUAGCUAGUUGGUGGGGUAAAGGCCUACCAAGGCGACGAUCCAUAGCUGGUCUGAGAGGAUGAUCAGCCACAUUGGGACUGAGACACGGCCCAAACUCCUACGGGAGGCAGCAGUGGGGAAUAUUGGACAAUGGGCGCAAGCCUGACGCAGCCAUGCCGCGUGAAUGAUGAAGGUCUUAGGAUUGUAAAAUUCUUUCACCGGGGACGAUAAUGACGGUACCCGGAGAAGAAGCCCCGGCUAACUUCGUGCCAGCCGCCGCAGUAACAC
rnacentral:rRNA from 1 species